AAUCACAACUAUCUGAGAACAACCACUGAUGAAGGGCGUCCCAGAAAAGAUCUUCUACAAUUAAAGACCUAAAGAAGGAACCACAGUGAGACAGGGAACACCGGCUCGAUCCCUGGUCUGGGAAGAUUUCACGUGCCCUGGAGCAUAAGCCCAUGCGCCACAACUACUGAGCCUAUGUGCCGAAAUGACUGAAGCCCGCGUGCCUGGAGGCUGUGCUCUGUGACAAGCGCUGCAGUGAGAAGCCUGCGCACCACAAGGAAGAGUAGCCCCUGUCCUCUGCAACUAGACAGAAGCCCAUGUGCAGCAAAGAAGACC
ensembl:lncRNA